AUGUUUCGUAAGUCCAUGAUGAAGAAGACAUUCCUUGUGAUUGGCCAGAGGUAGCCAUGAAGUAUUUAGAAAACUCUUUGAAUUCCAAGAAAAAGAGGAGGUAGGCUGAAAGUGAGCUGUGAUCAAUAGCAGAGAUGAGGAAAACGCGAUUAACAGAAUAAAUGGAAGCGGCGUGGCGGACAAAUCUGGCGCUAGAAAGAUGGCUCUUUACGGGGCCAAACAAAGACUGGUAGUGUUUGUGUGGUACAUCAUACAGCACUUUUUUGUCAGGGAUGGUGAAAUCAGGUGCACAGAAGCCACAAGGAUUUUCAGAUACAAUCAAGCAUGGAUGUGGAGAAACAGUUGACUCUGAUUGCUGUUUCCUCCUCUGACGAAGGGGAUUUCCUCUUUCUAACUGAAGAGUUAGAGGGGGAAACAGCAAUGAGUAAAUAAAUUGCUGAGGGACUCUUCUUAAUAACAAGCGCGGAGGGUAUAACAAGUGAAUUGCCCAUGGCAAUACAUUAUGCCUCAAUUAGUGAGGACAAGAUCGUCAAAGCAGAACUCUACUUCCCAACUGAAACUGAAAUUUCCUAAUGAUAGAUGAUGAAGGCAAGGACAUUUUCAUCGUAUCAGAGAGAGUAGUUGUUCAAGAAGAAAUGUGUCUUUUCACAACUAACUUAUUGGAUGACAUGAAGAUGGAGAAAAGCAUAGCUAAAUUGUUAUUUGAUACCAUAUAAAAGUAUCAUUGUGUGGAUAUAAAGAAGGGCUGUGUGAUGAUCUUCUUUAGCACAGAGUUCAGAGACCUAGAUAAUGUCAACACUGGAAAGGUGUUUAUGCAGAAUUUUGGCACAUUUCUUGUGGAAGAAGUGAGCAAGGACCAGAAAUUUUGGGUGGUUACUGAGACUCUGGGCGCCAUCGUUGAUCAUCUGGACCUGUUGUCAUGGAGAUCAGGGUAACAGACAAACUCCAGACCAUAUGGUACCACAGCUGACAGCUGAGAUUCAUCAAUAGAAAAGCAGCCUGGGAGCCCACAUUCCUAUCAGUAUGACGGCAAGGACAAAUCUGGUUCAGUUCAUCAUAUACAAAUCUUGACCAGUAGAUUUACUUAGACCUGUUUCCGUACCAAGAUUGAUCUGACAGGAUUGACCCAUCUCUGAGGGAAUUCUCACUAAAUUGCAUCCUAGAUCGAUCUAGGUAUGGGAAUAAGGUCUGAGACAUAUUUUUCUUCUCAAGUGUCUUAAAAAUAAUUAGAGUGUAGCACAUCAAGCCACAUAGCUUUCUGGUGUUAAAUCAGUUUUAUAUCAGGCAACACUGAUAUUUAGAAUUAAUAUUUUUCAUUCUUUUUUUUUUAACUCUUAUGAUAGUCUCAUUGGAUGAUUCAUGUGUUUUCACAUGAAACUGGUGUAAAACUUGCUUUUGUUCUUAUAUUCUGGAUGACUGGUGCAAAAAUUGCUCAAA